GACGUAGGGUGCAAGCGUUGUCCGGAUUUAUUGGGCGUAAAGAGCUCGUAGGCGGCUCGUCGCGUCGACCGUGAAAACUUGGGGCUUAACCCCAAGCCUGCGGUUGAUACGGGCGGGCUAGAGUUCGGUAGGGGAGACUGGAAUUCCUGGUGUAGCGGUGAAAUGCGCAGAUAUCAGGAAGAACACCAAUGGCGAAGGCAGCUCUCUGGGACGGUACUGACACUGAGACGCGAAAGCGUGGGGAGCGAACAGG
rnacentral:rRNA from 1 species